rnacentral:rRNA from 1 species
CGGAUACGCCCUUAUGGGGAAAGGUUUACUGCCGGAAGAUCGGCCCGCCGUCUGAUUAGCUACUUGGUGGGGUAACUGCCUAUCCAAGGCGACAAUUCAGCAUCUGGUCUGAGACGAUGAUCAGCCACUCUGAGACUGAAGACCCGGCCCACACUCCUACGGGAAGGCAGCAAUGGGGAAUAAUGGACAAUGGGCGCAAGCAUGAUCCAGCCAUGCCGCGUGAGUGAUGAAGGCCUUAGGGUUGUAAAGCUCUUUUAUCCGGGACGAUAAUGACGGUACCGGAGGAAUAAGCCCCGGCUAACUUCGUGCCAGCAGCCGCGGUAAUACGAAGGGGGCUAGCGUUGCUCGGAAUCACUGGGCGUAAAGGGCGCGUAGGCGGCGUUGUAAGUCGGGGGUGAAAGCCUGUGGCUCAACCACAGAAUGGCAUUCGAUACUGGGACGCUUGAGUAUGGUAGAGGUUGGUGGAACUGCGAGUGUAG